UUUGACCUCAAAUCAGGUAC
rnacentral:rRNA from 1 species